rnacentral:rRNA from 1 species
AGUGAACGCUGGCGGUAGGCCUAACACAUGCAAGUCGAACGGCAGCACAGAGGAGCUUGCUCCUUAGGUGGCGAGUGGCGGACGGGUGAGGAAUACAUCGGAAUCUACUCUGUCGUGGGGGAUAACGUAGGGAAACUUACGCUAAUACCGCAUACGACCUACGGGUGAAAGCAGGGGAUCUUCGGAACUUGCGCGAUUCAAUGAGCCGAUGUCGGAUUAGCUAGUUGGCGGGGUAAAGGCCCACCAAGGCGACGAUCCGUAGCUGGUCUGAGAGGAUGAUCAGCCACACUGGAACUGAGACACGGUCCAGACUCCUACGGGAGGCAGCAGUGGGGAAUAUUGGACAAUGGGCGCAAGCCUGAUCCAGCCAUACCGCGUGGGUGAAGAAGGCCUUCGGGUUGUAAAGCCCUUUUGUUGGGAAAGAAAUCCAUCUGGUUAAUACCCGGGUGGGAUGACGGUACCCAAAGAAUAAGCACCGGCUAACUUCGUGCCAGCCGCCGCCGUAA